rnacentral:rRNA from 1 species
GGGGAAUAUUGCGCAAUGGGGGAAACCCUGACGCAGCAACGCCGCGUGAGUGACGAAGGCCUUCGGGUCGUAAAGCUCUGUCGGAGGGAAAGAAACUACAGAUGGCUAAUAUCCAUUUGUAUUGACGGUAUCCUCAAAGGAAGCACCGGCUAACUCCGUGCCAGCAGCCGCGGUAAUACAGAGGGGGCAAGCGUUGUUCGGAAUUACUGGGCGUAAAGGGCGCGUAGGCGGCCUGCUAAGUCGAACGUGAAAUCCCCGGGCUCAACCCGGGAACUGCGUCCGAGACUGGCAGGCUCGAAUCCGGGAGAGGGAUGUGGAAUUCCAGGUGUAGCGGUGAAAUGCGUAGAUAUCUGGAGGAACACCGGUGGCGAAGGCGGCAUCCUGGACCGGUAUUGACGCUGAGGCGCGAAAGCCAGGGGAGCAA